CACCAAUUUUCAAAAUGAUUUGCACUCCUGCAGUCUUUCAGUAAGAGCAGGACUUACUGUAUUAGGACUGCUGUGGAUACAUCGUUUCAAAUCCUUGCUGGCAAUGCUGUGUUUUGCUGAAGUUUUGGUUCCUUACAGGUAAUACCUUGCAGACCUAGAAAUUGAUGGAUAUAUUUUUCUUGAUGGAUAGCCUAUGAAAAGCUAUAUUUUAGGGUUCUGAUUCAAAAACUGUCUGUCCAUCCUUCUGUCUGUCCAUCACAUUCUUAAACGUGAUAACUACGUUAUUUUACCAAUGUUCAUCUGACUUCCGUCAUUCACUUCUUUGGACUGCAUUUUGCUAUAAUCUGAUUCAAUAUUUGUAACCUUUCAGGUACUGCGAGAUUAUUAUGUGUUUACAAGGACCCUCUGUAGGGGCACGCUCUGGUUCAAGAAUUGCAUAAUUGUCUAAUGUUCAUUUUUGUCAGUAAGGCUUCUUUGGUUCCCUAAGAAGUUUGCUUUUAUUGCUAUUGGGUGGGUUCAAUUUUACUUUAACUAUUUACUUUAAAAGUUCUUGUACAGUUUUUUUUUUUUCUUAAAAAAAACAUUUCCCAACUAACGACGGCAGUUAAUCAUCUAGCGUCACUUCUCUUUCGGCACUCUCUUUGCAUUCUCUUCAGGUCUCCAUUUGCCUUUUUGUCUUCUCCUCUGAAAAGUAAAUGCAGGAAUUCCACAGAGGUCCGAGCAGAGCCUGACUGAAGCAGCUUCAUAAUGAAGAAGGCAGGACAGAGGCUGGACGUGAACUGAGGACCACGCACACUGCAAGCCAGCGUCUCAACAACUACCCUUGCCUGCAUUUGCUAUUUUAGGGCUUGUAACCUCUCCUCACUGACAGCUGUUGAACUUAAACAGUAUUAAUAAAUAAUUAAA